CGCGCACUAGAGGAGUCCCGGAAUUAACAGAGAACAGUCGGGAGAUAACGGAAUCGGUAAUUGUAACCGUUUCCCGAUAAAACGGCGGUGUUUCUCGCCGGUCUGUAGCUGCUGAGAGCGGCUGCGAGGAGCGUGGACUAACCGGGAGGAAAGACAUCGUUUCCCCCGCACAAAGCCCGUCUUCAUAGGAGCACCCACUCCAACACGGCUUUGUGGACUCAGCAGCAGCUCUGUCUAAGCCUUCCUGUGGUGACAAUAUGGGCUCAGCCUGGUCUGCUGUGUUCACUCUCACUGUCUGCUCAGCUGUGAGUUAUGUCUGCUGCUCUCUUUAUGGCAGCAGAUGGACCUUUGGGAUUCUGUUGAGCAUGUUGGAAAAAAAAUGACGGCCUUUCUCUUCGUAGAUGUGGAGUCUCUGCAUCAAUGGCUGUGUCCAGGUGACCUCCUGACUGUAGCUGAUCCACCUGAGGACCUCUGCAGGGACCUGGAGAGCCAAACACAAAGAGGACGAGAAGUGCCGUUACACUAUGGGGGAGAGCUACAUGUACCAGAGGCUCCCCUACGCCAGAGGAGAUGGGGAGGGGGAGGAUGAAGAGGAGAGAGGAAGGAGUGUCGGGGGACAAAUGGUA
rnacentral:lncRNA from 1 species